GCCCGCCUAGCUCAAUCGGAUAGAGCGUCAGACUCUUACGAGCGGGUGAUCUGAAGGCUGCGAGUUCGACCCUCGCGGUGGGCU
rnacentral:tRNA from 1 species